ensembl:lncRNA
CCUGAAUUACAUAGCGAGAUCCUGUCAGAGCCCUACCUCCCCCCCAAAAAAAACCCACCCCAACUUAAAUCCAGGCUUUUAGGGGAACCUGGCACAGCACAAGAACUCUGCUAUGUUCGCUUCCGGUACAACAAAAAGACCCGCGGCGCCCACGGAACACAAAGCUCAUUCCCAGCUGGAGCUGCCCGGCUACCGAGGCCGCUGGCGUCCUCUCCGCGCCUGCGCGCUGGCCCUGCCUGGCUGCGCGUCCUUAAUUCCCUUCCGCCCCGGGGCCGGAAGUGGAUCGGAAGCGCAGACCAGAGAGCCUCGUGGGCCCUCGCGUCUGUCCGCUUGGAACAGCUCAGGAAUCGCGGAAGCUGUGAUCUUCGCCAGGUCUCUCUGUGCAGCCCAGACUGGCGUUGUACUCUCAGUGAUCGUCCUGCCUCAGCCUCCCAAGUGCUGGGAUGACAGGCGUGCAUCAUCACACCCAGCUGUGUCCAGGUUUCUGAUGGCGCAAAUCUCCAGUAAGCGAAUGCUUGGAAGAUGAAGCACACCUGUAUCCCCAGCCACUGGGGAGGCUGAGGCAGGAGGAUUGCAAGUUUGAGCCCAACCUGGACAACUAUCAAGGCCCUGUAUAAAAUAAGAGGAAGCCAGAGCGCAACACUGGAGAUUAACUGGGGUCCCUUCCAAAAGCACCCUGUGACCUAAAGACCUCCCCUAGACACCACCUCUCUUUUAUCUUUUUAUACUGGGGAAUGAACCCAGGGCCAUUGCACUGAGCUACAUUCCGAACGCCCUUUUAUUUAUUUAUUUAAUUUUUAAAAAUUCAUUAAGUUUACUGGUACAUUUUAGGUAUACUAUAUCAUGACGUUCAUUGGGAAUUUGUACCUUUACAUGAUGUAUCUUGGUUCUUAUUUUUCCCCCUUCCCCUGCCCUCCCUUCCACCCCUCCACCCCUCCCUAUUUACAAAGACUUUGUUUCAGUUUUUUCCUUUUCUCAUAUUUAUUCUAUUCCCCGCUUUCCCUUCCCCUACCCCUUCCCCUUUGGGCCUUAUCUUUCUAUUUCACAUUAUCUAGUCUACAUUUUGAUCCUUAUUUACUCUUUUUUUUUUUUUUUU